rnacentral:rRNA from 1 species
AUACGUAGGUGGCAAGCGUUGUCCGGAUUUAUUGGGCGUAAAGCGCGCGUAGGCGGUUUUUUAAGUCUGAUGUGAAAGCCCACGGCUCAACCGUGGAGGGUCAUUGGAAACUGGAAAACUUGAGUGCAGAAGAGGAAAGUGGAAUUCCAUGUGUAGCGGUGAAAUGCGCAGAGAUAUGGAGGAACACCAGUGGCGAAGGCGACUUUCUGGUCUGUAACUGACGCUGAUGUGCGAAAGCGUGGGGAUCAAACAGGAUUAGAUACCCUGGUAGUCCACGCCGUAAACGAUGAGUGCUAAGUGUUAGGGGGUUUCCGCCCCUUAGUGCUGCAGCUAACGCAUUAAGCACUCCGCCUGGGGAGUACGACCGCAAGGUUGAA